CCUACGGGGUGCAGCAGUGAGGAAUAUUGGUCAAUGGGCGCGAGCCUGAACCAGCCAAGUCGCGUGAGGGAAGACGGUCCUAUGGAUUGUAAACCUCUUUUGUCGGGGAGCAAAAGACGCCACGCGUGGCGUUCCGCGAGUACCCGAAGAAAAAGCAUCGGCUAACUCCGCGCCAGCAGCCGCGGUAAUACGGAGGAUGCGAGCGUUAUCCGGAUUUAUUGGGUUUAAAGGGUGCGCAGGCGGAAGAUCAAGUCAGCGGUAAAAUUGAGAGGCUCAACCUCUUCGAGACGUUGAAACUGGUUUGCGUGAGUGAGCGAGAGGUAUACGGAAGGCGUGGUGGAGCGGUGAAAUGCAUAGAUAUCACGCAGAACACCGAUUGCGAAGGCAGCAUACCGGCGCUCAACUGACGCUCAUGAACGAAAGUGUGGGUAUCGAACAGGAUUAGAUACCCGGGUAGUC
rnacentral:rRNA from 1 species